GCCAGAAACAAGUGAUUGGAUGUUCAGAGCAGACAAGAACUUUAAGAAUUUCAAUGAAUUGAUUGUUAGCUGUGAGCUAGCUCUGGUGGAUGACACAUUUAAAUCAAUGCUUAUACCUAUUCAAUCUGACCAUGACAAGAUAAGGUCAUUGCAUGCCAUUGUUGAGGAAAUACUAGCUGAACUAAAGCCAAAACACUUUUCAGCAUCUGAUGGGAUAUACUUGGAUUGGCACCUCUUGGAAGAUGAUAAAUGCAACAGUAAGAUAUUAUCCUUAUAUCAGAAUACGUUGGAGUUGGAUUUGCACAACAUUGAUUUUGAUUGGGAAUCUUUUGACAAAGGAAAGUGGGUGGUAGAUGUUAUUUUAUCUGAUGAAGCUUUGAAUGGGCCAAAAGUGGAAGAACAUAAGGAAUCACUGGUUAUCUUAUCUGAAGGCGUUUCCAGUGAUCAACUUAUGGGAGUUGCUUCAAGUAUGGUGUUGGAUGAUAAAUGCUCAAAAUCAGGAAAUUGGGAACAUUUAGGUAAAGAA
rnacentral:misc_RNA from 1 species